UAGGAGUUCCCCCAACAACUGAAUCACAGCUGCAAGUUUGCACUGAAGGCUGAGAAAUCAUGCGCCUGCCUUUUUGAGCCAUUAGGGGGGAAGAUGAACACAGAAGAAGGCUGGGAACAGCUCCUGCUAGGUUACCGCCUAUGGAUGCCCUCAGUCCCACCCAGGGACCUGCUUGAGAGCAUGGGCUCUAAUCACUCACCUCUACUGCUCCCAAAUGCCACUCCUCUAGGAGAGUUCACUUUCAGGCAGGGAGAAGAAUGGUUCCAGUCCUGGCCCUGAAAUACAUAUGUCUCAAGAAGUCACUGAAUCUCUCUGAGAUUUAUCUGUCUAUAAACUGGGACCAACACCUACAGCAGGAUUACUGUAAGGGUUAAUACAAAAUAGCAUAAGAAAUGCACCAAAUAUAUAGGUAGUUGCUCCCGAAUGCUAGUUUAAAGGGCUCGCCUGCUUCAGAAUGUCGUUGGAAGAAGAAAAAGACUGUAGGUACCUGGAGCAAAGUGACAGGGAUAUGGAGA